rnacentral:rRNA from 1 species
GUGAAGCAUCCUGUUAAGUCAGGCAACGAGCGAGACCCACGCCCACAGUUGCCAGCGUACUCUCCGGAGUGACGGGUACACUGUGGGACCGCCGCUGCUAAAGCGGAGGAAGGAAUGGGCAACGGUAGGUCAGUAUGCCCCGAAUAUCCCGGGCUACACGCGAGCUACAAUGGUUGGUACAAUGGGUAUCUACCCCGAAAGGGGAUGGAAAUCUCCUAAAGCCAAUCUUAGUUCGGAUUGAGGGCUGCAACUCGCCCUCAUGAAGCUGGAAUCCGUAGUGAUCGCGUUUCAACAGAACGCGGUGAAUACGUCCCUGCUCCUU